rnacentral:rRNA from 1 species
UAACACGUAGGUGGCGAGCGUUAUCCGGAUUUACUGGGCGUAAAGCGUGUGCAGACGGAGCAGCAAGUGGUGUAUGAAAUCGCGGUGCUUAACACAGCGAGGUUAUGCCAGACUGCUGGACUAGAGUGCGAGAGAGGGAGAUGGAAUUCCGGGUGUAGUGGUGAAAUGCGUAGAGAUCCGGAGGAACCCCAGAGGCGAAAGCGGUCUCCUGGCUCGCAACUGACGUUCAGACACGACAGCAUGGGGAGCGAACGGGAUUAGAAACCCCGGUAGUCCAUGCCGUAAACGAUGCCGACUAGGCGCUGGUGGUGAUAAACCGUCGGUGCCGCAGCUAACGCGCUAAGUCGGCCGCCUGGGGACUACGGCCGCAAGGCUA